rnacentral:rRNA from 1 species
UACAGAGGUCUCAAGCGUUGUUCGGAAUCACUGGGCGUAAAGGGUGUGUAGGCGGCGUGGCAAGUCAGAUGUGAAAUCCGGGGGCUCAACCCCCGAACAGCAUCCGAUACUGUCAAGCUAGAGGUCUGUAGAGGAGUCUGGAAUUCUCGGUGUAGCAGUGAAAUGCGUGGAUAUCGAGAGGAACACCUAUAGCGAAGGCAAGGCUCUGGGCAGAACCUGACGCUCAAACACGAAGGCCAGGGUAGCGAACGGG